CAGGGCUGCAAAUCCAGACUGACGUCAUGGUCAUAGUCAGAUCAAGGAGAGACAGCACCACACCAAGCCAGAGCUUGCCCGUGGCUCCUAUUGCAAUGUUCAGAAGGAGAAGUCUCCCUCAGCGUAACUGGCAGGGCUCUGCCAAGGACGAAGAAGUACAGGUGAGUCCACCUCUGGCUACACUCAGGUGUGAUGCUCCUGGCACACUCAGCCUCAGUUUCUCUGAAGCUAGGCUCUUGAUUAGGUACGUUUGUUGUCUUUUGGAUUUCUAAUUGUUUCAUGUUGAAUGACUUCAAGUCCUGCCUUCUCUGAACUCUCCUGGAAGGCAAGGACUUUGUCAUCUAGGAGACAGAAAAUAACAUCUGAAAGACCUCUGAUAGAGCUGGCUGGGACAUCUUUAGGUCUUUUCAUGGCACAAUGGCAUCAUCUCUGGAAUUAAAAAAAAAAAAAACAACUUAGGCCAAGGUCAGUCCCUGAGAAUGUGAAUAAAUUGGCUUGGGGUGUGGCAUG
rnacentral:lncRNA from 1 species